rnacentral:rRNA from 1 species
CUACGGGGGGCAGCAGGCGCGAAACCUUUACAAUACACGAAAGUGUGAUAAGGGAAUUCCAAGUGCUCAUGCUCUGCAUGGGCUUUUGCUAAGAGUAAACAUCUUAGCGAAUAAGUGGUGGGCAAGACUGGUGCCAGCAGCCGCGGUAACACCAGCGCCACAAGUGGGAAUCAGUAUUAUUGGGCCUAAAGCGUCCGUAGCCGGUUUGUCAAAUCUUUUGUGAAAUCAUUGAGCUCAACUUAAUGGCGCGCAGAAGAGACUAACAAACUAGGAACCGGGAGGAGUCAGAAGUAUUCCGGGGGGAGCGGUAAAAUGCGAUAAUCCUCGGAAGACUACCUGUGGCGAAGGCGUCUGACUAGAACGGAUUCGACGGUGAGGGACGAAAGCCAGGGGAGCGAAUCGGAUUAGAUACCCUGGUAGUC